rnacentral:rRNA from 1 species
AAAAACAUGUCUAACAGUCAAAUUUUUAGUCGUACCUGCACACUGAGAUUUUAAAGAGCUGUAGUAUUCUAACUACACUAAGGUAGCAUAAUACAUUGUUUUUUAAUUAAAAACUUGAAUGAAAGGUUUGAUGAUUAGAUACUUUUACUUUUGAACAUAAAAAAUUAAUGUUUUAGUUAAAAAUCUAAAAUCCUUUAAAAGACGAUAAGACCCUAUAAAAUUUUAUUAAAUUUAAAGAUAUUAGUUAAGUUGAAAUUUUAAUUUUGUUGGGGUAAUAAAAAUAACAUAAUCUAACUGUUUUUAUAAAAACAUUUAUUAAUGAGAAAGUUUGACCUAAAAAAAAAAUUAAUAAAGCAAAUUACUUUAGGGAUAACAGCGUUAUCUUGUUUAGAGACCUAAUCGAAAACAAGGGUUGCGACCUCGAUGUUGAAUUAAGAGUUUCAGUGGGGUGAAAAAGCUCCCCUAGAAAAUCUGUUCGAUUUUUAAAUUCUUACAUGAUCUGAGUU